CAUCCAAGGAAGGCAGCAGGCGCGCAAAUUACCCAAUCCCAAUACGGGGAGGUAGUGACAAUAAAUACUGAUACGGGGCUCUUUCGGGUCUCGUAAUUGGAAUGAGUACAAUCUAAAUCCCUUAACGAGGAACAAUUGGAGGGCAAGUCUGGUGCCAGCAGCCGCGGUAAUUCCAGCUCCAAUAGCGUAUAUUAAAGUUGUUGCCGUUAAAAAGCUCGUAGUUGAACCUUGGACCUGGCUGAUCUGUCCUCCUAAUCGAGCGCACGGAUUCGGUCGGGUCUUUCCUUCUGGGGAGCCCUAUGCCCUUCACUGGGUGUAGUGGGGAACCAGGACUUUUACCUUGAAAAAAUUAGAGUGUUCAAAGCAGGCCUUUGCUCGAAUACAUUAGCAUGGAAUAAUAGAAUAGGACAUCGGUUCUAUUUUGUUGGUUUCUAGGACCGCUGUAAUGAUUAAUAGGGAUAGUCGGGGGCGUCAGUAUUCAAUUGUCAGAGGUGAAAUUCUUGGAUUUAUUGAAGACUAACUACUGCGAAAGCAUUCGCCAAGGAUGUUUUCAUUAAUCAGUGAACGAAAGUUAGGGGAUCGAAGACGAUCAGAUACCGUCGUAGUCUUAACCAUAAACUAUGCCGACUAGGGAUCGGACGGUGGUUUUUUUAUGCCCCGUUCGGCACCUUACGAGAAAUCAAAGUUUUU
rnacentral:rRNA from 1 species